rnacentral:rRNA from 1 species
AUAUGAUCUCAAAUCAGGUAAGAAUACCCGC